rnacentral:rRNA from 1 species
UACGUAGGGGGCUAGCGUUGUCCGGAAUCAUUGGGCGUAAAGCGCGCGUAGGCGGUCAGAUAAGUCCGGUGUGAAAGUCACAGGCUCAACCUGGGAAUGCCGCUGGAAACUGUCUGGCUAGAGUCCGGAAGGGGCGAGUGGAAUUCCUGGUGUAGCGGUGAAAUGCGCAGAUAUCAGGAGGAACACCAAUGGCGAAGGCAGCUCGCUGGAACGGUACUGACGCUGAGGCGCGAAAGCGUGGGGAGCGAACAGG